UACGUAGGGUGCGAGCGUUGUCCGGAAUUACUGGGCGUAAAGAGCUCGUAGGUGGUUUGUCGCGUUGUCCGUGAAAACUCACAGCUCAACUGUGGGCGUGCGGGCGAUACGGGCAGACUGGAGUACUGCAGGGGAGACUGGAAUUCCUGGUGUAGCGGUGGAAUGCGCAGAUAUCAGGAGGAACACCGGUGGCGAGGGCGGGUCUCUGGGCAGUAACUGACGCUGAGGAGCGAAAGCGUGGGGAGCGAACAGG
rnacentral:rRNA from 1 species